rnacentral:misc_RNA from 1 species
AACGGUCUAUACCUGCGGUACCUGCGGAAGGAUCAUUACUGAGUGAGGGCCCUCUGGGUCCAACCUCCCACCCGUGUUUAACGAACCUUGUUGCUUCGGCGGGCCCGCCUCACGGCCGCCGGGGGGCAUCCGCCCCCGGGCCCGCGCCCGCCGAAGCCACCUGUGAACGCUGUCUGAAGUUGCAGUCUGAGAAAAUUAUUAAAUUAAUUAAAACUUUCAACAACGGAUCUCUAGAUCGGA